rnacentral:lncRNA from 1 species
UUUUUUCAAUUUAAUGCAAAUGUUCUGUUCGGAGAGCUACUUUCCUGUGUUCAUUUAGAAAUUACUUGAUCUUUAACAAAACGGUGUUAAGAACAUUGUGACGGAACUCAUAUUCAUUUUAACUUCCUUUCAUGCUACUUUUGAUUUUACAGUUAAUAAUAUUUCUUGUGGUAAACGCUGGAGAUUGAAAAACAAAGUAAAAAACCACGUAUAACCUUGUAUAUUAAGCUCAAGCUUCUAUAUCACGUCUUGUUAGAAAGAAAGUCUGUUUGUUUACAUUUUUAAUCAUAUUCACUCGAGAAAAAAGUGGUCACACUCGAAAAAGCCCGAUCAAAUCAAACGAAAAACCACGAUCCUAGCCGGACACUAUGCCUACCGUGGUUAUAGUUUCUCCUCGUCAUUUUUGAAGGUACUUAAUAAUUGUACGGCU